GUGUCGGGGACGAGGUUCCGGGGUCACCCACGCUGCGUGAAUCGGAACCUCCAGAGCUGGGCCCUGGAACCGGCCACCUGAACAAGUCCCCCAGGUGCCGGUGGCGACUGGGGACCUUGGUGGGCCACCAAGUGCGCAAGCUAGGCCAGUCCCCCACGAGGGGUGGCCCGGACUGCUCCUCUCUGAACAUGAGCCCAGUGGACUUCAGAGGAGGUGGGAAAGGAUCACGUCCAGCUGAGACAGUCACCUCUCAGUUCAGGGACUUCCAAAGGUCACGCCCAUCCUGUCCUUCAUUUCCUGUGUAGGUCACCUUCGGCCCCUGGCCACCAGGCCGCCUUCCCUUUGGAGAAUCCACCUCCCUCCCCGGGAGCCAUCCCCUAGGGCCAAGUCUAGCAGUGACUGGAGCCAGGCCCCCAGUGACUAGAAGGACCUCAGGGGCCGGCUCCGCUGGCAGUUAGACCCUCAGCAGCUGCAUCCUGUCCACGCUCCUCCUGGGCCGCCUUUGGUGCCCCUGUCCAUCCUGACCCUGCUCUAGCAGAGAUUCUGUGGGUCACUCUCUGUGCUUCCUGUGAAUCCCUUUCCUGUUUAACUUCUGGCCGUUUGACAACUCUGAAGGUUCUUUCUCUUAAUCUAAGUCUGCAUCUUGCCGCCACCUUCUGGAAACUUUCAUCCUGUUUUUAUUUCCCGUGAGGAGAGGGGGGCGGCAAAGUGGGUCCUACCUGAGUGCUGAGUAUUUGGGGGAGGGGCACACCCUAACCGAUCCCGAGGAAACUUCCCAGGUUCAUCCAGGACAACCGAAGCUAAUGGCUUCUACACUCUUGGUGAGAUUUGAGGUUUUUCCCACUUGUGAUGGAUGUUCAAACAAAUUGGUUUCAUUGGUUUUAAUCUGUCAUUCAAUUCCAAUUUGGGGAUCUGAUGAAAGGAUGCAUGAAGAAGGGAACGAUGUGCCUGCUGAUAAGAUCCACUAGCAAGGACUUUCAUUUUAGGUAGAACCGAGGCUCUGGGAUCAGUCAUGGAAGAGCUUGGGACUUCAAGUCUGACCUGUAAGGCAAUUCUAGUGAAGACUUUGGUGAAUCAAGAACCCAACGCAGCGGAGACCAACAUGGAAGCCUGGGAAGGAAGGUCACAUUAUGUUCUGAUAGUAGCUAAAAGACUUGGCACAUUUGCACAAUAUCUUAUUUAGCAGUUUUGUGCAAAUCUCUUCUUCUAACAUUGAAAAGGACAAGAGCAUGUUUAAGUUCAACUGCAGAAAUUACAAGAGGCACCACUGCCACCUGGUGGCCACUUCUCCAGCUUGUUAGUUCAGGACUGGAUAAAAUUUGGUGACGUUGAGUUCAGGUUAAAUGCGCCAACCCCCUCCACAUUUGGGUCUUGUUGUUGCCGCUGUGGACUGGUGACGAGUCCUUGCUUCCCUGAAAGCUGAAGUAUACCCCCAGAGAAGCACGUCCAGGCGAGUGGAGAGUGGAAGCUUUAUUAAAGGACAGCAGAGGGCUGGGAUGGUGGCUCAGCCGCAGAGCGCUCACCUAGCACCGAUGGGACCCAGGUUCAAUCCUCAGCACCACAUAAAAAUAAAGGCAUUAUGUUGUGUCCAUCUACACCUAAAAAUAAAUACUUAAAAAAAAAUGGAUAGCAGAAAAGACUUCCUCCCAGAGAAGAAGGGAACCCAAAAGGAUAAAGGAGAGGUCUUGCCUUUUUUGUAUCUGAGGUCUUCUUUUAGUCCUCCCACAUCCCGGCCCUUGGUUUCCCUGUGUCCUGCAGUGAUAGAAUGCAGGUGGGAAGGCCGGAAGGUGGGACAGAGGGGGACUGGAGGAGUAGUCUGGGCAGGAAGGGCCUGGGGUGGUUUGAUUAGCACCUCCCUGUUUGCUGGGAGCUACUUCAUUAACAGUUCCUUAGGAUGGGCCUGGGGCCUUGGGGACAUUAACAUUUCAAUUUCCCCUGGUGCUGUUCUGGUUUCCUGGGCUCCAUUCGUGAUAAUGGUCUCCAUUUUCCUUAUCUUACUUGAUAUUAGACCUGAUUUACCUAACUACACUAACUACUUAUCUUUAAAUCUGGCUUCAUUGUUCCCUGAUCUUGACUUGAGAUGUGUACAUUUCUUUUUCAAUUAUGUGUAUUUCUGUUUUCAAUUAAAUUUUCAAUUUAGUUUGGCCAGAAAAAUGUGCCUGUCUCCCUGCUUAUUGUAGGCUAGGCUUGAAUUGAUCAUUUGCUACUGUUACAGAACGUCUGUGCUGGACCUGAGUCCCCUUGCCAUCACUCACCCCAGCCCCACAGAUCACUCAUAGGAACUGCUCCUUCGCGCUCAAGCCCCAUGCUUUCUUGUAUGGGAAUUAAAACUCUGCACCACAAACCAUGUGUCAUUUGCUUGGAUCCUUCUCAGCUUGGCCAUUUGCAUUGUUACGGUUUACAUAUGUGGUGUCCCC
rnacentral:lncRNA from 1 species